rnacentral:rRNA from 1 species
GACGAACGCUGGCGGCGUGCUUAACACAUGCAAGUCGAACGAUGAAGCUAGAGCUUGCUCUGGUGAAUUAGUGGCGAACGGGUGAGUAACACGUGAGUAACCUGCCCCGAACUCUGGGAUAACUGCUGGAAACGGUAGCUAAUACUGGAUACGACCUACGAAGGCAUCUUCUGUAGGUGGAAAGAAUUUCGGUUCGGGAUGGACUCGCGGCCUAUCAGCUUGUUGGUGAGGUAAUGGCUCACCAAGGCGACGACGGGGAGCCGGCCUGAGAGGGUGACCGGCCAAACUGAGACUGAGACACGGCCCAGACUCCUACGGGAGGCAGCAGUGGGGAAUAUUGCACAAUGGGCACAAGCCGGAUGCAGCAACGCCGCGUGAGGGAUGACGGCCUUCGGGUUGUAAACCUCUUUGAGUAGGGAAGAAGCGAAAGUGACGGUACCUGCAGAAAAAGCACCGGCUAACUACGUGCCAGCCGCCGCCGUAA